rnacentral:rRNA from 1 species
GACGAACGCUGGCGGCGUGCUUAACACAUGCAAGUCGAACGCUGAAGCUCAGCUUUUGUUGGGUGGAUGAGUGGCGAACGGGUGAGUAACACGUGAGUAACCUGCCCCCUUCUUUGGGAUAACGCCCGGAAACGGGUGCUAAUACUGGAUAUUCACUGGUCUUCGCAUGGGGGUUGGUGGAAAGGGUUUUUCUGGUGGGGGAUGGGCUCGCGGCCUAUCAGCUUGUUGGUGGGGUGAUGGCCUACCAAGGCUUUGACGGGUAGCCGGCCUGAGAGGGUGACCGGUCACAUUGGGACUGAGAUACGGCCCAGACUACUACGGGGGGCAGCAGUGGGGAAUAUUGCACAAUGGGCGCAAGACUGAUGCAGCGACGCCGCGUGAGGGAUGGAGGCCGUCGGGUUGUGAACCUCUUUCGCUCAUGGUCAAGCCGCAACAAUGGUUGCGGUGAGGGUAGUGGGUAAAGAAGCGCCGGCUAACUACGUG